AUGGGAAUCCUCCCGUUUUUUGUGCUGUCACUCUGUUUAUGCCACUCCGUCAGUCAGUCAGUGACACAGAGCCCGAAUGCGGUGACUGGAAAAGAGUGUGAGUCCGUCACCAUCACCUGCCUUUUCAAAGAAGGUUCCAGUGGCAGCUACGUAUUUAAUGUAGGACUUUUCUUCAAGCAAGCACAACCCGGUGCUAAACGGCAGCGGAUCACAACAGGUGGACGGUUUGUUGUGUCGUCCAAUAAAGCGGAAAAGACCUUUACGCACACCAGCCUGCGUGUUGGAGAUCACUCUGCUCUUAGCUAUGUUUCUUAG